rnacentral:rRNA from 1 species
CCUACGGGUGGCAGCAGUGGGGAAUAUUGGACAAUGGGCGAAAGCCUGAUCCAGCCAUGCCGCGUGUGUGAAGAAGGCCUUCGGGUUGUAAAGCACUUUCAGUGGGGAAGAAAGCCUUGGGGCUAAUACCCUCGAGGAAGGACAUCACCCACAGAAGAAGCACCGGCUAACUCCGUGCCAGCAGCCGCGGUAAUACGGAGGGUGCGAGCGUUAAUCGGAAUUACUGGGCGUAAAGCGCGCGUAGGCGGUCUGAUAAGCCGGUUGUGAAAGCCCCGGGCUCAACCUGGGAACGGCAUCCGGAACUGUCAGGCUAGAGUGCAGGAGAGGAAGGUAGAAUUCCAGGUGUAGCGGUGAAAUGCGUAGAGAUCGGGAGGAAUACCAGUGGCGAAGGCGGCCUUCUGGACUGACACUGACGCUGAGGUGCGAAAGCGUGGGUAGCAAACAGGAUUAGAUACCCCUGUAGUC